rnacentral:lncRNA from 1 species
GACACCAAAAACCCCUAAAUCAAGAGGAAAAAAAAUAGCCAUGACUUUUGAAAUAAAGAAUAUGAAGAAGAAGAACAACAGUAAAACAAAGAAUACGAAGAAGAAAAAGAAUGUCAACUAUAAGUAAAAAACUAAAGUUGAUAAUAAUAUUUAGAUUUUUUAAUCUGAGUGUGCUUGUUGUAAAUGAGACUUAUCUAAUUGCACCAAAUGAAAAUGGUCACUUUUGUUGGGGUUGCUUUGUUUGCACCUAUUUCAGCUUCAUCACUUAUAGAGUUGGCUUCAGAUCUGCCAUGGUUGCCCAUUGCUGGUUAUCUUGGCUAUCGCUCCCUCCAACAAAUUCAUCAUCUCUGUUAAGAAUAAUGAAUUAAUAAAAAAACUUGGAAGUUUUUAGAUUUAAGAUAAAGUGAUUGAUUUGCUUAGGAAUUGAAAGAGAGCAAAGGAAAGUUUUGAAAUAAAGAGAAAUGAAGCGUAGUGCUUGGAGAUGAGAUAAAGAUGAAGAUGGCAAUGUUGAUGAUAGGGUAGAUAGGUAGAUGAAUGGUAGAGAUGAGAUGGACAGAUCUGACGUGGCAAAACUAAUUGCCAUUCGGAAUGCAUUUUUCCAUGUCAUCGCGCGUGUAUUACAGUAUGUAUUUUUUAAUGUAGCAAUGUGUGUAAUUAUUAUAAAAAGUAAAGUUUAAGGUGGAAUUAUUAAAAAAAAAAAGUAAAGUUCAAGGGGCCGUAAGGUCAUUUUAAAAAUUGAGGACACAAGAUUUUUUGGUGCAAGUUCAGGGGGCAAUUUAUGUAUUCGGCCUAAAAAUUAGCCAUGGAGAUUCUUACAAGCAUGAAAAAUGGCUCAAAUCAUCACCAAAUCACAUCAAAUUGCAUACAUAGCAUCCCUAGCACUUAUAUUCAAGAAAUAUAACAUCAAAAAAAUGGUUUUUAGCCAUUUAUUUUAGAGUGACAAUAACUGUAUAUUCUUUCCUAGUUUAAAAUACAUGAAUAAAUCAUCAAAUAAAGCAUCUAAGGCAUAAAAGUGAAAGCUUACACAAAGAUCAUGGCAUUUAAUGAAAGAAAAACACAUUUAUACAUACAAAUCUUAAGAAAUCACAUACAAAGAUCCUAAAUAUAUCUAAAAUGAGAAUAAAGCGCUAACCUUGAAUUUUACUAACUCUCCACCACCUCUUUUCCUUUUGAUUUAGAAGAUUCACCUCCUAAAUCAAAGAAAAAGGAACAUUUUUUUUAACAUCUAAGCAUGAACAUAAUUUUUAAGGCAUUAACAUAAUAUAUAUGACAUAAAAUAUAUGGAACUAGCCUUAGUUUAAAAAUAAAAAGAGAAGAAAUAGACAGAAAAGAAGUAGUAACAUAAAAGAGUAACUUUUACCUUAAAGCUUUAAAAUUUCUGGAAAUAAAUUAUAUUAGCUUAUUGGCUAUGAGGAGAGGAAUAACAUAUUCAAAUAUGGUAAGAAGUAGUUGAGUUUAGAGAGGGGAUUGAGGCAUUAGAGUAUUUGGCUAAGGUUUUUAAUAUUCUAUGAGAGAAAGAAGAAAGAAAGAGAAAAGAGAAAAAUGAAAAAGAAAGAGAGAGAGGAGUUAGUGUGUGAGAGAGGAGUGAUUGAGAGAUGAUAAUCUCUAUCUUCACAUGCUUGGAGCAUGUGAACAUGUGGUGCAAUCACAAGUUUUAUGGUGCACCAUAAGCUCUCUUUUUCUAUUGGUUGAUGAGAUUACAUUAGGAUAGGAUAGAGUGAUGUGGAGACUCUUUAUGAUAUGUCAAAUCUCAUUUGUGAUUGGAUGGUGAUGUGGAGAUAAGGUGCACAUUGGUAUUGUAGAAAAAGUGAGAGAUAAGGUGAGUUGGCUUUUGUCUUGUAGUGGCAUGAAAAAUAGUUUGUAUUUAGCUUAUUUUAUCUUUAUUAUAGAUUGUUUGCAAAUUGUUUUUCUCUUUUAAAUUUAAGGCUAGAACCAUAUAUAAACACAUAUAUUAUAUAAUAAUUAAUUGAUAUACUAAUAUAACAAUGUGUUUUCAAAACACGGUCUCAUGACACUAUAAAUUAUCAAAAUGCUCUUGUGGCACUGUAAUUUACCUGAAUCACUAUAAAUAAUUCAUAAUCAUAAUUAAAUCAUACUAAUGCGUAAUUAGGCUCUAAAAAUGAUUUAAUACAUGCUAAUGACAUGUUAUGAAAUUGUGGAUAUGACACUAGUCUACAACAGAUUACAACAAUCUAUAUAGAUAAAGAGAAAUCCAACUAUAAGCACAGAAAGAACAGAAAACAGAUUUUAAAAACAGAAAAUAAGUGCAAAACGGUUCUUUAGAAAGAGUUGUUAACAGAUUUCUUUUCUCUUGAAAAAAAAUAUCUCUUAAAGAAUAUAAAUGAAAAGAAUGAAGGGAGUUGAAGAGAGAGAGCUAUGAGAGAUUUUGAAUUUUGAACAAUGGUCUCUUACUCUUGCCAACACUUGCUUUGAGAGAGGAGAGAGUCUUUAUAAGAAAGAGAGAAAUAAACCCGCUAUAGAUGAUUUGGAGUUUUGCUUUAAAUUGGGAUAAUUGCUUCUGACAUUUAAAUUCAAAAAUUAACUCAAUAUGAGCUGUUGAGGUUCUUCACGCAAGGCAUGGAGCUGAAAGGGUUAACUUCAGAAAGCUUUUUAACUUUUCAAAUAGAAACCAUCAGCUGUGUUCAGAAAAUGUCAGCUGUGUCAGAUCAGAAACUACUUUUUUUUGCAGAAUUUCAUUUAAUAGUCACCAAGGAGAUUUACUCCAAAAAUCUUUUAAAUAAGAAAACAUGAAAAGCAAAGAUUUUGGCUGCCUCUUAAUAAAUUUAUUCAAAAGCAUUUUAAAAAUAAUUUUUAAGAGAAAUAAAAUAUAUUUGUGCUUAUAACAUUAUUUACUUCCUAUCCUAUAAUAAUUUUCUAAGACUUAAUAUAAUACUAACCAAAACAAAAUAUCUUUAUUAAUCUUCAAGGUCUUCAAAAUAAAGAUCUUGGAUUGUAGGAGCUUCAUUUCUUCAAUAGUUUUCAUCAAUAAUUUCUGCAUAAAAAUCUUUAGCACAACAUAAAAAUUAAAUUUAUUUGGUUUGCAUAAUCAUCAAAUCUGAGGAUAAAAUUGACAUUGAGCCAACAAUCUCCCUCUUUUUGAUGAUGAUACAAUCACUAAUUUUAUCAAGGAUAAGAACAUGUGCUCCCCCUGAGUUUAAGCAAAUUAACAAAAUACAAGUUCUAAAUUCAACAGAUUUAUCAUAAAGCAAGAUUAGAACUCAUAUAAACUCCCCAUGAAUAAGUGCAAUUUAAGCCUAAGGGAUUUAGAACAUAAUACAAAUCAAAAACUGACUUUAGAAUUAGAACUAAAGUUCUAAAGUCUAACAAUCAGAGACAUUCCUCAAUACAAGCAUAUUCUGUUCACAUAGAAACAAAACAUUAGAACAAAAAGAAUCACAGAUUAGAACAUGGUAAGCACAAAGAUUAAGUACUUUAAAAAAAAUAUUGAGUUUUCCAACAAGUACGCAAGCAUUAAGAGUAUACAGUGUUCUCCCCCUUUUUGUCAUCAUAAAAGAGGGGUAAAAAAAAUUCAACACAAAUAGACUGAAAUUAAAAAUUAACUAAGUUAAACAUAAUUUUACAAUACAAACAGAAAAAUUCAAAGUGUUCACAAAACAGAUAUAAAUAGAGAUAAAAUAAGGCAACAACAAUAAGCAAUAAGCAAUAAGCGAAAGUAAAACAACAACCAUAAACAAAUGUUCACAAAUACAAAGACACAAAGCAAGUUAUUAUAAGUCUUAAAAAAAUUUUGUCAGAAAAGGUUGGGAAAGAGAUAAUUGGCUUUCUAGUUUAGUUAUGGGCCUUUUUUAUCUUUUGAGGUUUUGAGCAGGUGAGGGAUCAAAUGAGUCCAUGGAUCUUUUGGAAGAGGGAUAUAGAGGAGAUUUUCCUCUUCAGUCAGGCUGCCUUUCUAUAGUGCGUUUCAACCUUUUUGGUUUUUCAGAUGAUGGAGUGUAAGGUGUAGUUUUUACUUUGAGAGUAGCCAAUCUCCUUGCAUUUAUAUCUUUCAUUCUCUCCAUAGAAGUAAUCAAUAUUGAGUAUGAGCCAUAACUACUUUGCUAGCUUAAUGGCUUCAUCAAGCGCAUUAUUAUGCUCCUUGAUGAGCUGCUUCUCUAUCUCAGCCAAGGCUGAUUCUCUAUUUUUCUGAGCAAGAGUCUUUUUAGCUUCUGUUUUUGGCUCUAUUUCUUCUUCAUCACUUAUGUCUAGCUUUUCAGUCUCAGCAUCACUAGCCGCGUCAACUAUAACAUCUUCCUUAUCCUUUCUUGUUUCCUCAGGUUCAUUUCCUCUAAGAUCCACAAAAUCCCCUUUAUCUCGAGGAACAUCCUUUUCAGUUUCUGCUUUCUUUUCUUCCUUCUUUCCUUGAUCUUCUUCUUUUUCUUUUUCUGAUUCAGUCCUUUCUCUUUUUCUUUUUCAAUCUCUUCUAACUUUUCCUUUCCUUUUUCUAAUCUCCUCUUUUUCUUCUCAAACUUAGCUUUCUCCUUUUCUAGGCUCAACUUCUUCUUUCUAAACUGACAUUCUUUUUUUCUAUUAUAACUUUCUCAAAUUGUUUUUUUUCUACAACCUCUACCUUUCCUUUUCCUUUUCCUUUCUCUUAAUCUUCAUCAUCCUCUUCUUCUUUUUCAUCCUUUAACUUCAAAGAAUUAUUAUCUAAUUUGGACACACUAUAACACUUCCUUCUUUCCAGACUUACUCCUAAAAAAUCAAAAAUAGGGGUCAACACCAUUCCAUAGGGUAGUUUCUUUGGGUUAUCACCAUCUUAUCAAAGAUUGCAUAACACAAGUUAAAUGGCUUUUUCUCCAUAAUGUGCCACGAUAAGCAAAGUUUUUAACUUGAUUCACAUAAGUGAGAGAUCCACUUUUGGGAUAAAUGUAAUGUACUAUCAAUGUAUACAUGCAUUUUAUGUUUUCUUGAAGAUCAGAACAAUCGAUCACAGAUUGCUUUUCUACAGACCUUUUCUUUGUUAUUUUCUUAAUGAAUUCUUCCUUUUUGUACUCAUGUAAUUUAGUAGUCUUUUGAAUCCUAGUUGCUUUAGAUCGAAGAUCUGGAAUUUUGAAAAUACUACUAAGGUUAGCGAUGGUCAGGACUCUAAUUUCCCCAUUCAUUUUCACAGAGAAAGCAUCAAAACUGAUUCCCCUAAGAGAUCUAUAAAAUUCUUUAACCACAUUCUUAUAACAGGGUUCAUUCAAGAACAGAAAGUUCAUCCACCCUUGAAACUCAAACAAAUCCUUAAAUCUAAACUCUGAUUUUCUAAAGAAUUUCCAAUCUACCUCAUAAGAUCACAUUAGGGAGUUUGGAAAUAGAAUUGAUUUACCUUUACCACAAGAAACAGUUUCCUUUUCUGUCUUCUUCUUCUUUUCUUUGGCUUUCUCAAUUUUUGACAUUGCUUUCUCCUUUUUUAAACUUGACUGAGAGAUAGAUCUCAGAAGUUUCGGCUUUAGUUUCUUGUAUUUCUUGGUUAGUUCAAUAAGGAGUUCUAGUUCUUUAGUGGUCAUGGUUCCAGAAAAGGAAGAAUAUGAUCCAGACAUGACUUUCUAGUUUUUGGUUCUAUAAAGCUUUAGGGUUUUGUUGGGAGAGAGAAGAGAAGAACGCG